rnacentral:rRNA from 1 species
CCCUUAGAUGUUCUGGGCCGCACGCGUGCUACACUGAUGCAUUCAACGAGUCUAAAACCUGGUCUGAUAGGGCUGGGUAAUCUUUUGAAAGUGCAUCGUGAUUGGGAUAGAUGAUUGCAAUUCUUCAUCUUCAACGGGGAAUGCCUAGUAAACGCAAGUCAUCAGCUUGCAUUGAUUACGUCCCUGCCCUUUGUACACACCGCCCGUCGCUCCUACCGAUUGAAUGAUCCGAUGAAUACCAUGGAUUGAGAGUACGAAUAGGUUCGCUUAUUUCUGCUGCUCGAGAAGUGGAGUAAAUCUUAUCAUUUAGAGGAAGGAGAAGUCGUAACA